AGACAACACACAGAACAAAAGAUGGUUCAGAUGGUAACAGUGGCCAGGAGGAAACGCAGUGAUGAGAUAUCUGCAACCAGCGUAACAUGAAAGAAAAUAUCGCUCAUUCUUUUGGUGACAAAGUCACAGGUACCGCUGAUAUUGCUGUGGCCUGUUGCCUUCACUUAUAAAGAAAGGGAAAGUACAUUUCAGUUGGAGGUCAGAGGAAAUGUUAUCAACACUCCUCCACGGGAAAACGUUUGUGGUUGCUGCUGAGCGUGCCUGCCACAACCGCUGGCAAGGGGCUCCAAAGUCACAGGACACAAAACCUCCUCUAGCUUCUUUUGCUUCAUUUAGGCUUUGGACACUGGGCUGCUUCCUUCAAGUCCCUGCUUUCACUCCUACUCAUAGCCAGGGUUUUGUUUUGUUUUUGCUAAUGAAUCUCAUCUGGUAUGUUUUAAAAAGGCAUCCUAAUUAAAGAACAGUCAUGUGUUUGCCAUAAUAAGAAAUGGAAACUUAUGCAGUGGUGUCCCCUAACUGCACAUCUUCUCCCACUAUCCAAGGAGUUGGAAAGAAAGGACUUGAAGCAAGGUGGUUACACAAACUUAGAUAUUGGUCUCCCAAUAUUAAUCAACACAUAAUUUUUUACCAUUUAAUCAUCUACCUAAAAAAUCUAUGGUACCCAAGACAUCAUGGACCCAAGAAGUUUUAGCACUGAAAAGGAUGUCUGGGGCUCAGUAAUUGA